rnacentral:rRNA from 1 species
GAUUCCCUAGUACUGCGAGUGAAGCGGGAAAAGCUCAAAUUUAAAAUCUGGUGGUCUUUGGCCAUCCGAGUUGUAAUCUAGAGAAGUGUUAUCCGCGCUGGACCGUGUACAAGUCCCCUGGAAUGGGGCGUCAUAGAGGGUGAGAAUCCCGUCUUUGACACGGACUACCAGGGCUUUGUGAUGCACUCUCAAAGAGUCGAGUUGUUUGGGAAUGCAGCUCAAAAUGGGUGGUAAAUUCCAUCUAAAGCUAAAUAUUGGCGAGAGACCGAUAGCGAACAAGUACCGUGAGGGAAAGAUGAAAAGAACUUUGGAAAGAGAGUUAAACAGUACGUGAAAUUGUUGAAAGGGAAACGCUUGAAGUCAGUCGCGUCUGCCAGGGAUCAACCUUACUUUUGUGAGGCGUACUUCCUGGUUGAUGGGUCAGCAUCAGUUUUGGUUGCUGGAUAAAGGUCAGAGAAAUGUGGCACCUUCGGGUGUGUUAUAGUCUUUGAUCAGAUACAGUGGCUGGACUGAG